rnacentral:snRNA from 1 species
GGAUGUGAGGGCCAUCCGGCUGCAACAUCUGUCAUCCCAUUGAUGGUCAGGGUUGAUUCAGCUGAUCUGGCUGGCUUGGUGGGUGUCCUCUUUCUCCCACACGGCUCCACGUGAGUCCUACGUGCAGGUGCACUAGAUGGAGCAGGACGGGCUUCCCCGCUGGAGGAGGACGUUCUUCCACCAAGGGCAUGCGGUAGUGGUGCUCCCCUGUUAGAAUCCCCAGCUAGCUCUCAGGGUCCAUUUGUAAGGGAAUGUAGGGUAGUCAAGCUUCAAAGACUCCAGAUACAUCUAAAAGAGGCUGCAUAUGGCCGUCUACCUU